GUUGAAAUACCAAUUCCCGUACGAUCACUGAAGUUAAGCAAAGUCGAACCUGGUCCCUACCAAGGUGGGUGACCACUUGGGAUUUCCAGGUGCUGUAAG